UGAUGUACCCCACAGAUGUGUCUUCACAGUGCCUGCCUCCUUUAGUGACAUCAAAUGUUGUCACUGAACAGCAGGAGCUGAGAGUAGUGGCUCCAGCCUCAUGGGACAGAAAGUCCCUGGAGCGGUCAUGGUCCCAAUACCCACAAGCAUGAGGACAGAUCAAAGGACUGUGGGGAUGGAAACCGGUAACCCGGGCUGCACAACUGCACCUUUGUACCCAGACCAUUUCCCAAUGCCGUUAAGCACCCAUGAUGGUCUUCCUCCAAGCGGUAGAGGUGAAGCUUGCCCUCCUGCCUCCGAAUUAAACCCUUGCUCUGCUUCAUC